GUCGAUUUUAGCGGAAUGGUGGAAUUAUAUACAAAAUUUCUUUAUAAGGAAAUUUCUUUGAAGACACUAACGCUGAUACAGUUUGGUUGUUGGGGUAUUCCACAUCGAGGCUCGCACGCGGUACCACAAAUUUUGAACACUUGGUUAGGUGGACAGAUUAUGCCAGCGUUGAUCGCUAAGCGAUUAUAAUAUGAAAUUAAGAAAUUUCUUUCUGACAUAAACAACGACAAUGAAUAAGAGAAGAACAAUAACACGAGACAUGUUUUAUGCCUUUCCUCGACGGUAGUUCCAAAUGUAAGAAACGAACCGGGUUUACGAAACGUCGGAACAAAGUGCAACUACUGAUAAAACGCGAUUGAAAUCCGAAGAAGCACGAACACGUCACAUGCAUGAUAUAGUUUUAAGCAGUAUACUUGGAUUUUACGUUUUGCAUCUGGAUCGAAACAGUUUCAUCAGCACGAAUUUCUCGAAACGUGUUUCGAGGACCCUCGGGACGAAGCGAAAUCGUCGGACGAAGCAGCAGGAGAAGCGGUCGAGGGUGAAUCGAAGGCAACCGAAAUUCCUGCCAUAUUUCGCUGAAACCGAGUUUCCUUCCGGCUGGUUGAUUCAAUAUGUUCCAUCCGGGUAAAACGGAACUCCAGCCAGGCUAUGGACAAUACACUUUUCCGAAUGAAUCCCGUGGUUCCAUGAACGCGAAUGGAAUAUCUCGAUCGACGAUCCCGCGGAAUGGAGCGGCCAAGAUAUAGCCAAAUUCUGUUCCUUGUUCAAUGAACGAGAUUUCGAGAUUAAGAAGAUAAAGAAAGAUCAUCGUGUAUUUUCUAUUUCUUCGUGUGUUCAUGCUGAAGAUGUUAAAACGUAUUGAAAACGAGGGAUAUGAUCAUUUCUAUUGGGAAGAAUAUUAGCGAUUUUUCCUAGUAUCAUCGAUCGUUUGAACCUACAAAUUCUACUUACCAAACUUCUAGUCUUUUAUUUAUAUUACAAAUCAUUUUCUUAAAACUGGAAUUUUACCGACUGUAACUCAAGUUAGCAGCGAUGCACGACUGUUCUCUAUUUAAGCAUCUUUGCAUGCUCAAUUAUUAAUGCUAUUGAGCAUGUUUAUAGGGAAAUCGUUAAUACUACUAAGCACGUUGGAUCAGCGAUCGAUUAGCUAAUGAUAAAUAAAGGAGAAGAGAUUAAGAUUAGGAGAAAAAGGAUAUGUCAUUGAAAAUUUGAAAAAUAUUCAUAGCGCUCCUUCUAUUGCGAGAUUUAGUCUCGCGAUAUAAAGGAUCCUUGUCUCAAACGGUCCAUUUACGGUCGAAAAUUUAGUGCACAGGCAGCACAUAAAAUCUCAACGAACGAGGCUCUGGCGCGAUGAGAUUUAUGAAAAUUGAAGAUCUCUAUAGCAGUUGUUACAAAUCUUUCACUGGAUCAUCGUCUAUUUCGCGUCCAGACAUCUUCCUCGCCAAAAGUGUAACGUUUCUUAAGCACUGAAUGGCAAAUAUCGAAUUUCGUUUUAUUUCGUUUUACGCGUGAAUUUCAUCCAUAACGUUAAUUAACGAAUAAACCAUUGACGAAUAUUAUAGUUAAUAAAUAAUCGGUGGAAAUUUAUGCAAAGAACAAAUACAGGUGCUCGAGCACAAACAAUAUAACGAAUUGAAAAAUAAGCGAUUAGGUAGGAGAGCAUUUUUUGAUUAUCAGAAAAUGUUGUUUAAUUGUCCUAUGUAGCGUUUAACUACCACUGUCGGUGAAAGGUACACGCCUUAUCGAAUACGAUUUGGUGUACGACUGUGUUAGGCUGGUUGCCAGUCGCCAGGAACUUUCCCGACGCUUUAUUUCUUGUUUAACUUUUACGAGUACCAUACAUCUCGAAGUAAUUUUUAGGAAAAUAUUUGGAUUGUUGUAAUUUUUUAGUAUAUAACAAACUGUACUAUUAUAUCGUUGCAUUCGUCGUUAAAAUAGAUUUUAAAAGCGAAAGGAACUUUAAGAGGAAUCAUUUGAAAGAAUGUUUUAGAAUACCCAAUAUUAGCAAAAGGGAAAGAUGUACAAAUACGUGACACCCAACUCGUUAUCUACCGAAAUAAUCGAUACGAGCAAAUAACACCUAAAUGUAAACAUCGUGGUCCAGAUUACAUGACUUGUGUCACGAAGCAAUAAAUUUUUUAAUAGACUUGAAUAAACGAUAAGAUAACCUCGCGUAUUAACAGUAUUAAUACAUAAAUCUGUGCAAUAUCGAUAAGUUAAUUCCGUGCAAGAAGCAAAAGCCGAUGAAGGAAAAUAGAAAGAAGCUUAAGGAAAAAUUUAUACCAAUAAAAUUUUUAACAAUCAUUGAUUACCACCUAUGACUAAUUAGCCAUUCUUGAGACUAGACGGAUCAAAGGAGAAUUAAACGUAAAAUUUAGCGGAGAAAGAGGCGGAGGUCGUUAGGUAGAUGGCUACCAUUAAAUUUCGUAAUAAAACUGGACCGUGGUUCGGGUCGCAGAACCGGCGAUUUAUAUCUCAAUUAAAACGCGGCUGUAAAAUCGCGUUGUCUUUGGAUCAUCCAUCGAACCUCCUAGCUUUCUCGAACUUUCGCCUCGAACACUGUGAAACGUAUCCCAGUUCGCAAAUGUCUAUUCGCGUUAACGCUCUAAUAGGACUAUCGUGAACUCUGUGAAUCGACCUAGCUGUUAGGAGUCCGCUUUAUCGUUUGGUCGGUGCGCUUUGAUUACUUGCCAGUGUUCUUCGAGCAAACGCGACGAUUAUCGUCGAUGAGACACCAGACUAAUUGUACAAGAAAAUGGCCAGGAUCGGCUUGUACUUUGUAGUUCUAUCUGUUUCUAAUCCGAUUCAGAAAUCUCCAUGGACGUAUUACUUCUCAAGAGAAUUACUUCGAAAGAGAUCGUUCCAUCGACGUUUAUAAACAUGGUCUUCUUACUAGUCCGCGAAUGCUUAUGCAUUUACAGAAAAUUAAAAUCUCUAAAGACACACACGCAAUAUGUAAAAAUACGCAAAGUAUUGAAAAUAAAGUAUACUUGUCACGAC